UACGUAGGGAGCAAGCGUUGUUCGGAUUUACUGGGCGUAAAGGGCGCGUAGGCGGCGCGGUAAGUCACUUGUGAAAUCUCUGAGCUUAACUCAGAACGGCCAAGUGAUACUGCAGUGCUAGAGUGCAGAAGGGGCAAUCGGAAUUCUUGGUGUAGCGGUGAAAUGCGUAGAUAUCAAGAGGAACACCUGAGGUGAAGACGGGUUGCUAGGCUGACAUUGACGCUGAGGCGCGAAAGCCAGGGGAGCAAACGGG
rnacentral:rRNA from 1 species